rnacentral:rRNA from 1 species
GACGAACCGUGCGAACGUUGUUCGGAAUCACUGGGCUUAAAGGGCGCGUAGGCGGCUUGCCAAGUCCGGGGUGAAAGCCUCCAGCUUAACUGGAGAAGUGCCUUGGAUACUGGCGAGCUUGAGCGAGGUAGGGGCGGGUGGAACUUCCGGUGGAGCGGUGAAAUGCGUUGAUAUCGGAAGGAACGCCGGUGGCGAAAGCGACCCGCUGGACCUCUUCUGACGCUGAGGCGCGAAAGCUAGGGUAGCGAACGGG